UACGUAGGGGGCAAGCGUUGUCCGGAAUUACUGGGCGUAAAGGGCGCGUAGGCGGCACGGCAAGUCGGGAGUGAAAGCCCGGGGCUCAACCCCGGAGGGUCUCUCGAAACUGCCGAGCUAGAGUGCGGAAGAGGCAAUCGGAAUUCCCAGUGUAGCGGUGAAAUGCGUAGAUAUUGGGAAGAACACCGGAGGCGAAGGCGGAUUGCUGGGCCGACACUGACGCUGAGGCGCGAAAGCCAGGGGAGCAAACGGG
rnacentral:rRNA from 1 species